rnacentral:lncRNA from 1 species
UACAUGAAACAGUUUGUUUUAUUAGCUGAAUUACAAAACAAAGAGAAAGGAAUGGCAAAUGAAUGGAUAUCUAGUAAUACAGGCAUAUCAUUUGGGUUCAUAACAUAAAGUCGCACCCUGCAGUGGCUGUUUCGAGCAUUGCACUUGUCAGCUGCUAAGUUCAACCUCAAAAGGAAUGCUGCAGCAUCUGUGAACCUGAGGACUAGAAAUCCAUUAAUAAUGCCUACUCAUAUAAGGUUUGCUUACAUAUGCAAACAAUGUAUUCGCCUAUAAACAGAUUUUCCAACUUUACAGGCAGUUCAACACAUACAACAGCAAUCUUAUGUGUGGUCAUGAGUCCAGUGCCAAAACAUGGGCAUUACUUGCAAUCUGAGAGUUCUAAACUUGUCUUCAAACAAGAGUCUCCAUGUGGUGUCAGAGGGAACUUUAGAGUUGGUUUGACUAGAGUAACUCCAUCUACAAGGGACAAACAUAACAUAGUUGCCAAUUCAGUUUUAUAGAUCGUCAAAACUGCAAUAUUUGGACUUGAGGAGGACAUCGAUCUCUAUAAAAUCCCAUGACAAUUGAUAUGUAAAUUUUCGAAGUUGCAAAUAUUCAAAAUGUAUCCAAUCAAUGGAGGUAUUGACGGUUUAAUACAGAAAUUGAAAUGCCUGCAACAUUUGAAUGUGCUAUGUAUAGAAAUAAAAACUGUUUUGGCUCUUGAAAGCCUUUUAAUACUGUGUGUAAUCAGGCAUUGUAAAUGUCAUACUAACACUAAUCACAAUUGAACACAAAUGAAGAAGUUAAAAGCAAUGGAAACUAGGUGUGCUUGGUCUUACUCUUUGGGAGUUCCUUUCCUUUUGCUCAAAAAGAUAAAAUGGAAUCUGAAGCUUACAAUAUCCUAUUCCUAUAAUUUUUCAACCAAGAUCAGAAGGCUCUUUAAUUUUAUCUUUUCUAUUCUUUUAGGGUUUCAGGUAUUCGGACCUACUUGACUGGAUAUGUAGAAUUCCAAUGGAUUUGAGACAAGUUUAGAUAAAGAGUUCACAACCCGUUUUGAAUUUAGGUAAGAUACCAUAUCAUCUCUAAAAAUAUUAUGAGUGCUUUUAGUUAUUAAAUUAUUAGUUUAUUCACUUUAAACAUUUAUUUAUUGUUAAUUAUGAAUGAAUUUUAAUUUUAUAAUUAUAAAUAAAUUGCAAAUAUCAAAUGGGGUGUGAAUUUUCUUUCUUACUUGGAUUAGGUUUGGGUCAAUUAAUCAGGUAUAGAUGAACCAGAUAAAUUUAAAAAAUUGAACAUUUAAUUUAAUAGGUUCGAAUAUAUAAAGGAUAUUAUUUCUCUAAUUUGAGUAAGAUUCAGUUAUUAAUAACUUUUAAAUGAUAAUAAAGUAUUUACAAGAUUCAAAUAUUUAGAUAAAUGAUAGGAUUCGGAAGUGGACAUGGCGUGGAGUGAUUGGAUUUGGCCAGAAUCUAUGUAACUAUGUAUAGUACUAAUAAAGUAAAAGUAAAAGUGUAAAACCAAUCCACCCGCAUUUGCUGUCCUUGUGAAGCUUUCUCUAAUGCUAACUUUGCUUUCUCAUAAUCUCUUGCAACUCGAAAUCCAUUGGCUACAAGUAGCAUGAGCAUCAAUGAAGAAAGCCCCCCAAAAGCAUGGUAAUCACAUAGUAAGAAUCCAAAAAUAAAUAAAAAAACCCCCCAUUUUUUAGAUAAAAUCUUAAAGUUUGAAUAAUGGGUUAGAUAGCAUUAACAGCUUGCUCAUACAAAACAGUAGUACUUUUCCGAUCAGCACUCCACCUUGUAAGACUCAGCUUUGUUCUACACAUACAGACAGAGGAAAAAGAAAAGUUGGGUCAGGCUGAUUAAUUGGUUUUGUCCCCAAACUAAUUUGAUAAUUCAACACUACAAGGGAUGGGAUCGGAUAUCAAAUAAACAAAUUGAAAUCGAAGAAUCUUAAGUGGCAAUUUACAACACAUUCUUCUACAAAUAUACAAGUAAGAUAUUUGUAAAGAGAGGGGAGAGAAGCUUACAGCUUCUCUGCUUUGGAGAUGAGCCUGUUGGGAUCGGAAGUGGACAUGGCGUCGGAGUGAUUGGAAUUGGCCGGAAUCUAUGUAUGUAGAGUACUACUGAAGUAACACUGCAAAAGUGUAAAGCCAAUCCGCCCGCCUCUACUCUCUGAAGUAACUUUGGCUUCAAACUUUUGGAUUAGCUUUGGAUUUAGAAUUUGGGGGUUGGCCCCGAUGCUUCAUCCCCUCCUUCCCUUCCCAUCCCUUCCCAUUCAGGCAUGGGUUCGGGUAUCCAUUUCGAAUUCGGGUACGAUACGAGUAUGGUCUUCAAAAGAGUGCUUCUAGUUGCCUAUUGAUUUUGAAAAUUUGUUUGUUGUUAAUUAUGAG